AUGAACGCUGGCGGCGUGCUUAACACAUGCAAGUCGAACGGAAAGGCUCCUGCUUGCAGGGGUACUCGAGUGGCGAACGGGUGAGUAACACGUGGGUGAUCUGCCCUGUACUUCGGGAUAAGCUUGGGAAACUGGGUCUAAUACCGGAUAGGACAACUUUUUGGAUAUUGUUGUGGAAAGCUUUUGCGGUAUGGGAUGAGCUCGCGGCCUAUCAGCUUGUUGGUGGGGUAAUGGCCUACCAAGGCGUCGACGGGUAGCCGGCCUGAGAGGGUGUACGGCCACAUUGGGGCUGAGAUACGGCCCAGACUCCUACGGGGGGCAGCAGUGUGGAAUAUUGCACAAUGGGCGCGAGCCUGAUGCAGCGACGCCGCGUGGGGGAUGAAGGCCUUCGGGUUGUAAACUCCUUUCGCUAGGGACGAAGCUUUUUUGUGACGGUACCUGGAGAAGAAGCACCGGCUAACUACGUG
rnacentral:rRNA from 1 species